rnacentral:tRNA from 1 species
ACCUACUUAAUUCAGUGGUUAGAGUAUUGCUUUCACAUGGCGGGAAAAAUUGGUUCAAAUCCAAUAGUAGGUA